GACAGAGGGUGCAAACGUUGUUCGGAAUUACUGGGCGUAAAGCGCGCGUAGGCGGCUUUGCAAGACGGGUGUGAAAUCCCCAGGCUUAACCUGGGAACUGCAUUCGAGACUGCAUUGCUAGAGUAUGGGAGAGGGAAGUGGAAUUUCCGGUGUAGCGGUGAAAUGCGUAGAUAUCGGAAGGAACAUCAGUGGCGAAAGCGACUUCCUGGACCAAUACUGACGCUCAUGUGCGAAAGCGUGGGGAGCAAACAGG
rnacentral:rRNA from 1 species